rnacentral:misc_RNA from 1 species
AACGCAAAUUGCACUUCUUGGUAUUCCGAGGAGUAUGCUUGCUUGAGGGUUGGUCUACAAAAUCGCGUGAAAUCUAUUUUUUUCGCGGAUCUGGGUUUUCCAAGACUUGGUGACCUCAAAUUUAUUUUAACAAUUUUUAGGUAUUAAGAUUAGAAAUGGUUUAUCUUGCAUAUUAUAUUUAUUAUAUUGUAAGUUCAUUGAUAAUUAUACCAAUUGUUAUUCGCCUAUCUUUAGAUUAGGUGAAAUAAUUCAAUAUUUUUUAAUCCUACCUCAAGUCAAGUAAGAAUACCCGCUGAACUUAA